AGAGUUUGAUCCUGGCUCAGGACGAACGCUGGCGGCGUGCCUAAUACAUGCAAGUCGAGCGAGCUUGCCUAGAUGAUUUUAGUGCUUGCACUAAAUGAAACUAGAUACAAGCGAGCGGCGGACGGGUGAGUAACACGUGGGUAACCUGCCCAAGAGACUGGGAUAACACCUGGAAACAGAUGCUAAUACCGGAUAACAACACUAGACGCAUGUCUAGAGUUUGAAAGAUGGUUCUGCUAUCACUCUUGGAUGGACCUGCGGUGCAUUAGCUAGUUGGUAAGGUAACGGCUUACCAAGGCAAUGAUGCAUAGCCGAGUUGAGAGACUGAUCGGCCACAUUGGGACUGAGACACGGCCCAAACUCCUACGGGAGGCAGCAGUAGGGAAUCUUCCACAAUGGACGAAAGUCUGAUGGAGCAACGCCGCGUGAGUGAAGAAGGGUUUCGGCUCGUAAAGCUCUGUUGGUAGUGAAGAAAGAUAGAGGUAGUAACUGGCCUUUAUUUGACGGUAAUUACUUAGAAAGUCACGGCUAACUACGUGCCAGCAGCCGCGGUAAUACGUAGGUGGCAAGCGUUGUCCGGAUUUAUUGGGCGUAAAGCGAGUGCAGGCGGUUCAAUAAGUCUGAUGUGAAAGCCUUCGGCUCAACCGGAGAAUUGCAUCAGAAACUGUUGAACUUGAGUGCAGAAGAGGAGAGUGGAACUCCAUGUGUAGCGGUGGAAUGCGUAGAUAUAUGGAAGAACACCAGUGGCGAAGGCGGCUCUCUGGUCUGCAACUGACACUGAGGCUCGAAAGCAUGGGUAGCGAACAGGAUUAGAUACCCUGGUAGUCCAUGCCGUAAACGAUGACUGUUAAGUGUUGGGAGGUAUAUGCCUCUCAGUGUUGCAGCUAACGCAUUAAGCACUCCGCUUGGGGAGUGUGACCGCAAGGUUGAAAAUCAAAGGAAUUGACGGGGGCCCGCGCAAGCGGUGGAUUAUGUGGUUUAAUUCGAAGCAACGCGAAGAGCCUUACCAGGGCUUGACAUCCUGGUUUCGAAGUAGAGAUUCAUUUGGUGCCCUUUGGGGAAAGCAGAGACAGGUUGUGCAUAGUUGUCGUCAGCUCGUGUCGUGAGAUGUUGGGUUAAGUCCCGCAACGAAGCGCAACCCCUAUUGUUAGUUGCUACGCAAGAGCACUCUAGCGAGACUGCCGUUGACAAAACGGAGGAAGGCGGGGACGACGUCAACUCAUCAUGCCCCUUAUGUCCUGGGCUACACACGUAAUACAAUGGCGGUUAACAAAGGGAUGCAAAGCCGCGAGGCAGAGCGAACCCCAAAAAGCCGUCCCAGUUCGGAUCGCAGGCUGCAACCCGCAAGCGUGAAGUCGGCAUCGCUAGUAAUCGCGGAUCAGCAUGCCGCGGUGAAUACGUUCCCGGGCCUUGCACAAACCGCCCGUCA
rnacentral:rRNA from 1 species